GUAUAAGAGACAGCAGUCGCCGCGGGAAUACAGAGGGUGCGAGCGUUAAUCGGAUUUACUGGGCGUAAAGCGUGCGUAGGCGGCUUUUUAAGUCGGAUGUGAAAUCCCUGAGCUUAACUUAGGAAUUGCAUUCGAUACUGGGAAGCUAGAGUAUGGGAGAGGAUGGUAGAAUUCCAGGUGUAGCGGUGAAAUGCGUAGAGAUCUGGAGGAAUACCGAUGGCGAAGGCAGCCAUCUGGCCUAAUACUGACGCUGAGGUACGAAAGCAUGGGGAGCAAACAGGAUUAGAUACCCCCGUAGUCCCUGUCUCUUAUAC
rnacentral:rRNA from 1 species